rnacentral:misc_RNA from 1 species
CAGAGUUCAUGCCCUUACGGGUAGAUCUCCCACCCUUGAGUAUUAUACCUUUGUUGCUUUGGCAGGCCGCCUAGGCUACCGGCUUCGGCUGGUAUGUGCCCGCCAGAGGACCCAAAACUCUGAAUUAUAGUGUUGUCUGAGUACUAUAAAAUAGUUA